UACGAAGGGGGCUAGCGUUGCUCGGAAUCACUGGGCGUAAAGGGUGCGUAGGCGGGUCUUUUAAGUCAGGGGUGAAAUCCUGGAGCUCAACUCCAGAACUGCCUUCGAUACUGGCGAUCUUCGAGUCCGGGAGAGGUGAGUGGAACUCCGAGUGUAGAGGUGAAAUUCGUAGAUAUUCGGAAGAACACCAGUGGCGAAGGCGGCUCACUGGCCCGGUACUGACGCUGAGGUGCGAAAGCGUGGGGGAGCAAACAGG
rnacentral:rRNA from 1 species